GACGAACGCUGGCGGCGUGCUUAACACAUGCAAGUCGAACGGAAAGGCCCUGCUUUUGUGGGGUGCUCGAGUGGCGAACGGGUGAGUAACACGUGAGUAACCUGCCCUUGACUUUGGGAUAACUUCAGGAAACUGGUGCUAAUACCGGAUAGGAGCUCCUGCUGCAUGGUGGGGGUUGGAAAGUUUCGGCGGUUGGGGAUGGACUCGCGGCUUAUCAGCUUGUUGGUGGGGUAGUGGCUUACCAAGGCUUUGACGGGUAGCCGGCCUGAGAGGGUGACCGGCCACAUGGGGACUGAGAUACGGCCCAGACUCCUACGGGAGGCAGCAGUGGGGAAUAUUGCACAAUGGGCGGAAGCCUGAUGCAGAAACGCCGCGUGCGGGAUGACGGCCUUCGGGUUGUAAACCGCUUUCGCCUGUGACGAAGCGUGAGUGACGGUAAUGGGUAAAGAAGCACCGGCUAACUACGUG
rnacentral:rRNA from 1 species